CAAAGAGUGGUUUAGUGAACGUUUUUCAUUGGGGAGCCCAUGGUUGGAAAUGCGCAAUGGCGGCUCCACUUCUCUAAUGGGCUGAUCAUCAGAAAUAAAAAGAGUAAUGCGAGCGUGGAGACCUUAUUUCCUUUUACAUUAGUAAAUGUUCGAAGCCAACCAACUUCAUUAGCGUUAGCCGACUACGUUACACAGUGUGCAACACCAACCAUGUUUCGUCUUACUCUUGGAAGAUUCCACGCUCACUUCUGAUGCUGCGAAAUCUGUGUUCGGGAAGCUGGUCCACCGUUUCUACCCGUCUUUCGUAGAUAAUACCCUAUCUCCUUCUCUAUCACCAGGACAGGAAAUCAGACAAUUCGUAUCACUGUGCAACCGCAUUUCGCAUUUCUGACCAUGAAUUCCCUUAGUGAAGGAUGUUCACUGUGUCGCUCUUUGCGACUCUUUAAAGUUACGAAACCUCAUUCAUUAUUACACUAUCGAAAAGUUUUCUACAUUAUAUAUAAAGAUAACAAA
rnacentral:lncRNA from 1 species